rnacentral:pre_miRNA from 1 species
CACCUACUCCCUCCGUUCGGAAUUACUUGUCUCGGAAAUGGAUGUAUCUAGAACUAAAAUACAUCUAGAUACAUCCAUUUCUGUGACAAGUAAUUCCGAACGGAGGGAGUACCAG